AACGCACCUUGCGCCCUUUGGCUAUUCUGAAGGGCAUGCCUGUUUGAGUAUCAUGAACAUCUCAACUCUCACGGUUCGCCGUGAUGAGCUUGGACUUUGGGGGUCUUGCUGGCCUGCGGGUUGGCUCCUCUCAAAUUGAUCAGCUUGCCAGUGUUUGGUGGCAUCACGUGUGUGAUAACUAUCUACGCUCGUGGUUCUCCGCCAGGUAACCUUCGGUGACGGAGGUUCGCUGGAGCUCACAAACGUCUCUCCUCAGUGAGGACAGCUUUUUAACGUUUGAUCUCAAAUCAGGUAGGACUACCCGCUGAACUUAA
rnacentral:misc_RNA from 1 species